rnacentral:rRNA from 1 species
UUAUUUAUUCUCUGUUCACGGGAUUGAUUGGCAUUAGCGGCGAUGAAGGACGUGGAGGACGACGAUAUGCGUUGUUGUUGCGACGGUGUCUGAAUUGUGUGCGUGAGUGCAUGAGGACCCCUUUGACUUAAGCAUAUCAGUGGAGGGAGGAGAAGAAACCAAAUGGGAUUGUUUGAGUAGCGGGCGAGUGAA